rnacentral:rRNA from 1 species
CGGUGAGGCGACUUGUCUGGUUAAUUCCGAUAACGGACGAGACCUUGACCUGCUAAAUAGCUGCCUCUUGCAUUGCAAGAGUCCAGUUUCUUAGAGGGACAUUGGAAGUUUAUUCCAAGGAAGUUCGAGCCUAUAACA